AAUAGCGCAGCAGCUGCCGCGCUCGCGCCCGCGAUGAUCGCGGCAUAUGGCAGGAGGUGCAGUUACUGGAGGAGAAACUUCAGAAGAUGGAGGCCGUGGUCCUGCAGCUGCGCAAAGAUGUCCAGCGGCUGGAGCAAUGCCAGGCUGAGCCCUUCCACCGAGGCUCCCCGCAGGCAGAAGUGCCGGUCGUGAACCUGCUUCCAGACACGGAGUCGGGCAGCUCCCAGGAGAGCUUCGAGGUUGCAACCGACUGUCUAGUGCGUCCCUCCAUACCAGAACUGUGAGACUUGUUCCACCUCUUCCCCCYGCUUCGGGUCUGCCGCAUGCGAAAGCUCUUAUCGUUGUUUGCAUAUUUACUUUGUUCAAACUGCAAAAAAAUGCUAACCGCUCUUUGCAAAGUCCACUUGAACUUAAGGUAAAGUUGUCGCUUUUUCCAUAGCAACAAGGGCCUCUCCUUUGUUUUUCCAUGUCGCUAAUCUAAUCCAAAGACUUGUGUUUGAAUUCGGACUUCCUCCAACUUGUUCAUAAUCCAGAAAAUCAGUAUUGUGCACCAGCAGUUAAAAGGGGAAAAUAAUUCCUCUCUUUGUUCUCCAAUGUGACAAAAUUUACAGUCAAUAAAAUAAAAGGGAUAGGGCA
rnacentral:lncRNA from 1 species